GACAGUUUUUGCCGGGGACAGGUCAUCCAAUACGGGCACUGUCCCCGGAAAUCAGGGACGUCUGGUCACCUUAUGCUAAAGGCUAAAAAUGGUAGGUACUAAACCAUAUAUUUUAGACCCCGAGUCCGAAGAGGAGGUGGAAGUUGAAGAAGAAGCCAGAGAUCUCCAGCUGUGUUUUCUCAUUCAUUCUGCCCAGCUUUAAGUUCAUUUUCCCGGCAGUGAACCCAAGGAAACACUGGUCGUUUGGAAGAGACCCAUAGCGGAUACAGUGAUAGCUGGGUCUCGCUCUGACUGUGAAUGAGUACGAGAACGAGAGAGUGGGCGCGGCUCACUGAGGACGCGCUUGUGAAUAAUAAUGAGCAAGGUAAGCGCGACGUCAGAGGCACCUGCUUUUUCAAUUGGCCUAGUUUACCCGUUCCUUUAUUUUAAACCUUUACAGAGUGCAAACGACGUAACGGUUUGUUUUCAUAUAGCAACAUAAGACGGACAUAACAUGGACCUUAUCUGACACAAAAAACACACAAAAUUACAUUUUGAUUGCAGGUCCCCUUUAAUGUAUACUGCAAAUUUUUAGCAAGUUAAGUUCUCUGGACAGUCUCUGUUCUCUGCACAAAUGAUAAAAUGAUUCAUCAAAGGCCAGUUAUGACCUUGACUCCUCCAGAGACACAGCAGCCAAAGAAUCCCUCCCUAUGCAGAAGCAUGUAGCUAUCAAAAAACAAAACUGUGACUAAACUGUUACAGUCUAUAAAGUGUAAGUUGUACAUGUAGACAUGUCGCUGGAGAAAAAGAGGUUUUCUGACCUCAGCUGGAAUCCCUGUUAAACAUUUGAACCAACUGAUUGAUAUUAUACCUUAUUGAAACUUAAAGAAGUAACCAUAGUAAAGUGCAGAGAACACCAAAGCUAACUUGGAAUUAAAGCCCUCUCUAUAAUGCUAUUUAACGUAAGAUCAACUCCAAAUGUGACAAUGAAUUUCAUACCACAUGAGAUAAAUAGGACGACUAUGGGAUAAUAGGAGAGAUGAUUAACCAUUUGAUGACUAUGACAGAGAGAACAAGGAAGAAGCAGGUUCAGAGGCAGGAAUUUCAAUAGAGAAGGCAAUAGAGGAAGUAGAAGUUUUGACAAAGGUUAUGAAUCACAAGAGCAGAGAGGUGAAGAACAGUACCCUGACCGAGGUCAUGAACCACAACAUCAGAGAAUUACAGAGCUUUUGGUCACUAGGUGAAGAGCUGUAGAAAAAAGUAUCAAGCAUGACUAGAAGAGGGAGAGACAGCAAGUGUUAUUCGACAGAAAUGAAGAGAAACUGUGAACAGAGAAGAGACAGAGGAGGAAGAAGUGCUAAACCUGGAGGAGAUAAAUAAAUAUAUAUAUUUUUUUGAUAGAUAGAUAGAUAGAUAUACUUUAUUGAUCCCAAACUGGGAAAUUCUCUUGUUACAGCAGCAAAAAAAAAAAAAAAAACAGUUCUUGGACAUAAACUACCACAGAUUAGGUUUUCCAAACAAAAGAUUUUUGUCAGAUUAGUAAACAGGGGCCUUAUGUAUCAAUACUUGCGUGGAACUCAUACCAGAAACGAGCGCACGCAAGGUCCGUCACGCUGAAAAAAAUCCGUAUGUAUCAAUGUGUGCGGGCGCCGAAAUCCACGUGUGUUUCCUUGAUAAAUCCCGAUCAGCGUGGAAUUGAGCGCAGAUGUCGGAGUGACUGGGCCCGUCCCCGUAACGCCCUCCUAUAAAUAUGCAGAUUUAUUUAAAUAGGGUCUCCCUGUCCUCGCACGCAGACAAAAUGACAAGAAAAACUAAAUUUACGGCGUGCAAGGUGGAGGUGCUGGUGGUGGAGGUGGAGGAGCGACAGCGUGUUUUGUUUGGCAGCCUGUCAAGUGGCGUCAGUGCAAAACAAAAACGCUUGGAGUGGGAGAAAGUUUGCGAGAGGGUGAAUGCGGUGGGUUCCGAGACACGCACCCCCGCGACGAUUAAAAAAAAGUGGUCGGACCUCAAGGUGGAGGUCAAGCGGCGUACAGCUGCCCUCCGGAGGAGUACUGGCCAGACGGGUGGGGGUCCGGGGGAGGAGACCCUCACACCGUUUGAGCAGCGGGUGGUGGCGAUUAUUAUUAUAGGGUAAGUGGCGUGUCACACAAAUGUCCACAUGCUUUGUCAUCCCACUGAGCAAAAGACGUAUAUUAGACGUCUAGUCUAAGUUUAUACUUCAUUUCAACGUCGGGAUUCAGUCUAUUUUUAGACGUGAUUUAUACUUCGCCCUUAACUUCAUUUUUCGAUAACUUUUUAUGCAAUAAACAACUGUAAUGUGCAUAACUGACCUCUAAAUACUGGAUUACAUUACCUAUGAUACCGUGGAGAGAGAUGUAAACGCAACAGAUACACAGAAGCAGGAAUUGAAAUGAACCAAUAUUUUUAUUGUGUCACAGACUUCAAUGUGUCGGCCGAGUCGCCGGCUUGCGGAACCCCGGCCCGCGGCAGCCCGUCCGCCGGCUCGGAGUCGUCGGCCAGGACCAGCGGCAUUCGGGCCACCCCGGCCCCCGGCCCCAGCACCAGCAUCAGCACCAGCGCGCCGACAAGCGGUGGAGCGUCCACCAGCCGCGGCGCUUCCGCUGGACCACCCGGACGCAGUGGAAGGGUCCUCGCGGAGGGGGUCCUGCAAUCGCUGGAAGAAAUCAUCAGGCGGAUCGCGGGGAUCAACGAGCGGCUGGACCGGCUCGUAAAUGUCCUCGAGCGUCUGGUGGAGAAAAUAAAUUAAUUUGGCGCUCGCCCAGGGAGUAAUUUAGUCUAGAACCGCCACUGCUGCUUCUAACGGCCAUAUGAGACACAUGAAACCAGGCUCAGUACACAGAGCACUGAGUGUUACAUUUAAAACCCUUCACUGGAGCACCUGACCCUGGCCCCUAUCUCCUCCCACAAACUUUGAC